UGAUGAAGAUGACGAUGAUGAUGAUGAAGAAGAAGAAAACCCAGAUUUGGAAAAACUGACAUCGCGUUCGCCGCGCCCGCCGCCGAUCUCGUUGCGGAAAUGAGGACAACUCAACAACAACUCAUUGCUGGUGUCAUCACCUAAAUCCUGCUCCAAAUUUUCUUUGGAAUUUAAAUUUUCCAAACUGGAGAAAAUUUUGGGAUCGGAACCGGCGGAAGCGGCCGAAGCUCCCGUGGUCGUGUUGCGCCGUUGGGUUCCCGUCGAGGAUCCGACGGAAACGGCUUCGAAAAAAAUGCUCUGAACGUCGAAAUGAGCGAAACUUUUGCGCCAAAUCCAAGAUUUUGGAGCUUCUGGAAGUUUGGGAUCUUCGGGAUCUUUGGGAUUGAGGAGUUUUUUGAAGAUGGAAUCGUCGGGUUUUAAACGGCGCCGGGGUUUUUCUUUCGGAGCUUGGGGUUGAUCCGAAUUUGGAUCGGGAUUUUGAUUGGAAUUUUGGGAAUUUUGGGGUUUUUUGGUUCGGAAUUCGUUGAGGAUUUCAUAAAAACUCUGCUCUGGGAUUCCUUGGAUGUCGAUGGAGGAGGUGCUGCCGUACUCGCGGAACAAUCCGGCGGAAUUCCCGGAAUUCCCGCGGAUUUCCGGGAUUUCUUCGGGAUCGCAUUCGCUCAAAGUGACUUCGCUGCUGCUCCUUUGUCUCAAAGGAAUUCCCAAAAAUCCUUCUUGGAAUUCCAGAUCUUUCCAAUGAGGGACCAAGCGGCGAUGGAAGGGUUUGAAUGGAGCUUGGGAAGGUUGGGAAUUGCGGGAAAUUCCGGAAUAUUCUUUGGAGCGCGGGGGCCACUCGGCCACGCGGGCGCGGACGCCCAUCUUGGGCACCGGGGGGAUCUCGGAGCGUUGGGAGGUCAUGGUCACCCAAAAGGGAAUUGGGGAGUUUGGAAGUUCUGGAGAUCCUGGAGGUCCAGAAGGUUCUGGAGGUCCAAGAGGUCCAGGAGGUCUGGGAGGUCCAGGAGGUCUGGAAGGUUCAGGAGGUCCUGGAAGUCCUGGAGGUUCAGGAGGUCCAAGAGGUCCAGGAGGUUCUGGAGGUUCUGGAGGUUCAGGAGGUCCAAGAGGUCCAGGAGGUUCUGGAGGUCUGGGAGGUCCUGGAGGUCCAGAAGGUUCAGAAGAUCCAGAAGGUCAAGGAGGUCCUGGAGGUCCUGGAGGUUCAGAAGAUCCAGAAGGGUCAAGGAGGUUCAGGAGGUCCAGAAGAUCCAGGAGUUCCAGAGGACCUGGAGGUUCAGGAGGUUCAGGAGAUCAAGGAGGUUCAGAAGAUCCAGGAGAUCCAGAAGGUUCAGGAGGUUCAGGAGGUGCAGAAGAUCCAGGAGUUCCAGAGGACCUGGAGGUUCAGGAGAUCAAGGAGAUCCAGAAGAUCUGGGAGGUCCAAGAGGUCCUGCAGGUCAAGGAGGUCCAGGAGGUCAAGGAGGUUCAGAAGGUCCAGGAGGUUCAGGAGGUCAAGAAGGUUCAGAAGAUCCAGGAGAUGCAGAAGAUCCAAGAGUUCCAGAGGACCUGGACGUUCAGAAGGUUCAGGAGAUCCAGAAGAUCCAGAAGAUCCAGAAGAUGCAGAAGGGUCAAGGAGGUUCAGAAGGUCCAGGAGGUUCAGGAGGUCCAGGAGAUCCAGAAGGUCCAGGAGGUUCAGAAGGUCCAGGCGGUCAGGGAGGUUCAGAAGAUCCAGAAGGGUCAAGGAGGUCAAGGAGGUUCAGGAGGUUCAGAAGAUGCAGAAGGUCAAGGAGGUCCUGGAGGUCCUGGACGUUCAGAAGGUCCAGGAGGUUCAGAAGGUCCAGGAGGUUCAGAAGGUCCAGGAGGUUCAGGAGGUCCAGGAGGUCAGGGAGGUUCAGAAGCUCCAGGAGAUGCUGAAGGUUCAGGAGAUCCAGAAGAUCCAGAAGGUCCAGAAAGUCCAGAAGAUCCAGAAGGUUCAGAAGAUCCAGGAGGUCCAGGAGGUCCUGGAGGUUCAGAAGGUCAAGGAGGUCCAGAAGCUCCAGAAGCUCCAGAAGGUCAGGGAGGUUCAGAAGGUUCAGGAGAUGCAGAAGGUGCAGGAGCUCAGGGAGGUUCAGGAGAUCCCCAGGGCCCGGAGCUCCAGGAGCUCAUGGCAGGAAGCGGCGGCGGCGGCGCAUGCUGGGAGGGCUGGGGGGAAAAAGGACAAAAAUUCAGGAUUUUAUCCCAAAAAUUGAGGGAAUUUAUCCCAAAAAUUGAGGGAAUUUUAGCCAAAAAUUUCAGGAUUUUAUCCAAAAAUUGAGGGAAUUUUAUCAAAAAAA
rnacentral:lncRNA from 1 species